UACAGAGGUCCCGAGCGUUGUUCGGAUUCAUUGGGCGUAAAGCGCGUGUAGGUGGUUAAGUAAGUCUUGUGUGAAAUCCCUGGGCUCAACCGAGGAAGUGCAUGGGAAACUACUUAGCUUGAAGAUGGCAGAGGAAGGUGGAAUUCCUAGUGUAGAGGUGAAAUUCGUAGAUAUUAGGAGGAAUACCGGUGGCGAAGGCGGCCUUCUGGACCAUUCUUGACACUGAGACGCGAAAGCGUGGGGAGCAAACAGG
rnacentral:rRNA from 1 species